rnacentral:lncRNA from 13 species
CUCCAUCCCGUGCGUCAGAGGAGAGAGGAAAAGGAACGUCCCUCCUCCGGCCUCAGCGCCCCGAGCAGCCGUUCUGAACCGGGAGGAUCCGGCGCCAUCGGCCGUGCCCGCGCGGCCCCUCGUCUGGUGACCGGCCCGGGCUGCAGGACGGCCCCGCGCAGCAAAACGUUGUCCAGCCCGCGUGGUCUCCGUGCCUCCACCGAAGACCCCUGGCCCAGGGUGACUGCGACGGCCUGCGUGAACUUACAGAAUUAAUAGGAGAGCCUGUAGAAUUGAAAACUGUGCAGCUGAGAGUGUUCCAAAUCCCACUGCAAGAUGAGUGUACAAAGAAACCAACAACCUCCCCAACUGGUACAGAAAUUACUUCAA